UGGUGACAUGAGGACAGGGUGUUGAUGC
rnacentral:piRNA from 1 species